rnacentral:rRNA from 1 species
GCCUUCUGCCCACACAAGUAUAGAAGGUCCCGCCUGCCCUGUGACCAAAAGUUUAACGGCCGCGGUAUUUUAACCGUGCAAAGGUAGCGCAAUCAAUUGUCUUUUAAAUGGAGACCUGUAUGAAUGGCAUAACGAGGGUUUAACUGUCUCUUUUUUCUGGUCAAUGAAACUGAUCUGCCCGUGCAGAAGCGGGCAUGCCAACACAAGACGAGAAGACCCUAUGGAGCUUUAGACGCCCACCAAUCACCAAAAGAAACCCGGCUAACGGAAUUCCAAAUCAGCGUGAUCCUGGCACAAACGUCUUCGGUUGGGGCGACCGCGGGGGAAAACAAAGCCCCCGAGAGGAUAGGGAAAACCCUAAAACCAAGAGCCACAGCUCUAAGUCACAAAAUAUUUGACCGUCAAUGAUCCGGCUUCUAGUCGAUCAACGGACCAAGUUACCCUAGGGAUAACAGCGCAAUCCCCUCCCAGAGUCCAUAUCGACGAGGGGGUUUACGACCUCGAUGUUGGAUCAGGACAUCCUAAUGGUGCAGCCGCUAUUAAGGGUUCGUUUGUUCAACGAUUAAAGUCCU